UCUGCAAUUUGUCAAGGUUUCUCGUAUAAGCGUUUAUCGUAGUACUGUGCGGUGUCGUGGAGUCGUUUGUCAUUGUUGGGGAUAGUUUCUCUUUGCAGAGACGCUUUUUAUAUUUCCUUCGGGGCUCAGUUCAGGGUAAAUUGAAUGCGGGAUUGAAACUGUUUGAUUUUACCGUUGCAUCGACGCUUAUUUCGAACGUGUAUCAGGCAUUAAUUUUGUUAUUAUUAUCAUAAGAUAGUGGAGUGGCUAAAAAUGCUUUCAAUAUACUUAUGAACAUUACUAUUAUUACCUGAAUUAUAUACUAAUAAUAGAUAACCGAACGAUAAAACACUAUCAGUCCUACUAUGUAUACAUACAGACAACUUCUCAAAUCCAAUUGCAAAACAUAAGUUGCUAACGAAUGGCAUAAGCCGAGCAAUUUCGCACAGUCCGCGCCGCGAAAGAAUCGCUAGUCAAAGAGAGAAACGUGCAGCCCCAAAACAGCUUCGCCAUCAUAAUCGAAUACAUCAAACGCAGCGAACUCAAUUCCUUUGUCCCUCCUAUACCCGGGGUAUAUAUACAUUCUCCUCAUUCCGUCGAGUGCAGUCAUUUCUCGCCAGGCCGUCGAUCAAUACACGCAUCAUUUCUUCGUCCUUCCGGCGAUAAAAUUUGUCCUUUGACGUAGGAAGAUUCAGGUCAAAUCAUUCAAUAAAGUAUUUCGUUUAUUCAGCGUAAAAUGCUCACUCACUAGAUGUCCAAUCAAAAAUCAACAUCGGACGAAUUCGUAUUACCUCACAAUCAUGGAAUCAUAAAAAAAGCCGCAGAGAUAACAACAGAAAUUAAAUUCCAAGUGAAGGAUCGUACUACGAAGUAUGAAAGACAAAACGUGUAUCGACUUACUGUCAUCGUCGACCGUGCCGUUGUGCGAUAUCUCGAUACAGCGCGCGCAGUUCUUGGUGCACCUCUCGCAGGCAGCCGGAUGUCCCGGAUCGGACAGUAGUACCACUUCUCCCUCGUAGCCCUUGUUGGCUAUGAUUUUUUUAAAGCCUGCAAUGCGAAAGAUCGGCGAAGGUUACACAAAUUUUUUGUGUAAAAAUAAUAAUACGACGAACCUGAACACGACUUGUAUACCUUUGAGAAUAAAAUAGCUAUGAUAAACACUCGAUUCUACAA